ACAAAAGAGGUAUACUCCAUAGAAAUAUAGCAUGGCAGCUAACAGGGUUGGUGUUCUAUUUUUACUCCUUGUUUGCGGGGUGUUUCUACUAGCGGUCAAGCCGGAACACGCUAGUGCUAAAAUAUGCCCUGAAGAUUGCAGAGUGGCAGAGUAUAUGAUAUGCCGCGGAGAGGAGCAGCCGGCGGCAUGCAACUGCUGUUUUGCUGGACCGUGUUGCACCAUUUACUACAGCGAUGGAACCAAAUCAGUUUGCAGCUGAUAUUGGAUACUUAAAAAGCAUCGAUGGACAAUCAAAGAAAAGGGCAUGCAACUGCUUAUAUGUGGAUGAGCUAGGUUUUUUUUCUUGUGGAGAAUCUCGAGAUUGUAUUUCUUCUUCUUCUUCUUCUUCUUCUUCUUCUUCUUGUGUGUGGGCGCGCGCGCGCAUUGUUACCCAUGGAGGUGUAAUAUGUGCAUCCCUUCUUACUUCUUAAUAAUCUCAAGCCCCAAUGGAAUAUCUCAUGCCCCAAUACAACUUGUGAGGUUUAAUUUGUUCCCUU